AGAAUCAACGCUGGCGGCGUGCCUAACACAUGCAAGUCGAACGAGAAAGUGGAGCAAUCCAUGAGUAAAGUGGCGCACGGGUGAGUAACACGUGACUAACCUACCCUUGAGUGGGGGAUAACCUAGGGAAACCUGGGCUAAUACCGCAUAAUACCUUCGGGUCAAAGGAGCAAUUCGCUUAAGGAGGGGGUCGCGGCCGAUUAGUUAGUUGGCGGGGUAAUGGCCCACCAAGACUGUGAUCGGUAUCCGGCCUGAGAGGGCGCACGGACACACUGGAACUGAAACACGGUCCAGACUCCUACGGGAGGCAGCAGUGGGGAAUUUUGCGCAAUGGGGGAAACCCUGACGCAGCAACGCCGCGUGGAGGAUGAAGUCCCUUGGGACGUAAACUCCUUUCGAUCGGGACGAUUAUGACGGUACCGGAAGAAGAAGCCCCGGCUAACUCGUGCCAGCAGCCGC
rnacentral:rRNA from 1 species